UAGUGCACAAUUACCAUAUUUCGUUCUUCGUAACACUUAUAGCAUUCUUUUAUAGUGAAAAACCAAAAGUUAAAUAAUAUAACUAUUGUGUAAGCGCGCGGGAAGAAGGAGUCAGCUAGGUUGGUUGAGUGCGCUCGACAGCCCGAGCUGUAGAUUUACGUGUAUCAUUAGUAAAUCCAUUAUUUCCAUCUUUCCACGCCAUCUCGAUACAUGGUAUUAGGAUCCCAUAAAAGUGGGAUCAAUCUCGCAAACAACACUAUAUUUUUGCACGGGAGAAAAUUUGAGGAAGGUGGAAAGUGACACACAUCUACAAGAUAACCUCAACUGGCUUCUGCGGUGAACAUUCAAGCACCAGGAGAAUUUGAUUUCGUCAAACCUGACCAAAAUGGAUCAAAUGUUUUAAAAGAUAUCUGUCGGUGACUAAGUUAUCAAAGAAGUUGGACAAGGAAAAAAUUGACAUGUUAUGCUACUCGAUGGCGAAAAGAUUUUAAGAAAUCCUAAUGCAAGUCAUGCCAACGAUCACGUUUUCAACCACGUUUGCCAGUGUCAAAGAGAAAUUUGAUUCGUAUGUCAGACCAAAGAGAAACGUUAUUUUUGAAAAAUACAAAUUCAAUUCUUGAAUACAAGAGCCAGGAGAAAACGUCGAUUUAUUCGUCGUGACGUACUCACUAGCUGAUACAUGUGAGUAUGGCAAUAUUAAAGACGAACUAAUUUGCGAUCGUAUAGUAAUAGGUAUUCAAGAUACUAAAGUCUCAGAGAAGCUACAAUUGAUAAACGAUUUAACUCUUGAUAAAGCACUGGAAAUAGCUCGCCAGUUAGAAAUACAGUUUACAGAGGGAAAGAAGAUAAGGCGAGGGAAGAAAUUGAAGAGAAAAGGGAUGUGAACCAAAUCUCUGAAAAGGAAAAGUUUCUUGACGAAAGACUAACAGUGAUAGAGAUAUGUUUCAACGGACAGAAUGACUAUGUAGUAGAUGUGGAUACCCUACUCAUCUGGGAAACAGAAAAUGUCCUGCAAUAAAAUUAAUAUGUCGCAAAUGCAAGAAGGAAGGCCACUCGGAUUAAAUGUGCAGUUCAAAAGAGGUACGACGUUUAGAACAAGAUGACGAAGAAGGUAAAGAAGAUGAAGUGAGCGUCGCCUACGUAUUCAUUGGAGUGGUUAACACUGAUGAAGGCGCAACGGACUUCAAAUUCAAAACGUAUAUCCCUGAGCUUCCAAAAUUGCUGUAUUUUAUCAUGGAUACAGGUGUAGAUAUUAUAUGUGUUUCCGAGAAGUGUAUUCCAAAAAGAAAUAGGGAAAAAUUAAUUUUAUUGUGGGAAUUAAUAUAACUCUGAAGACAGAUCAUAAACCACUCAUUCAAAUUUUGCAAUCUGAACCUCUAGACAAAUUAACGCCUAGACUUUAACGAAUUAGAAUGCAUCAUCUAAUACGUUAUAAUUAUAAGAUUACUUUUAUACCGGGAAAACAAUUAAUUGGCAUUGUCUUUUGAGAAAUUUGAUGAGAGAUAUAAGCAACUCAGGAAAAGAAUUCGCUAAAGAAAGUGAAAAACAUACAUAAUGGUUUCAUUAUUAACUACUUUCCAGCAGCAACAAAUUUACUGCAUAGAAUUAAAAACGAACAGGAAAGAGAUUAUGUUUGCGCAAAAUUUAAAAAAAUUUUUUAAUUUAAAAUUUAAUCAAUUAAAAAUUAAAGUGGCCAAAGAGAGAUAGACUACCAGAUGGACUACUAGCAUACUAUCAACUGAAGGAUAAUAUAUUGUUAUGCCCGUUCUUCGGCUGAGCUUAAGAAACUGGCCGAAAGAACAUCGAUUAGACAGAAGAAGCGCGGCCGGCUUUUGUUCUGUUCUGGGACGCGGAGCUGUCACAAGAUAUUUAGAAUAAUUCCGCCACGAUUUAUUCGUAUAAAGUUAUUAGAUUAAAGUUAGUGUUCUUUUUUUAUAAAAAAGUGUUCUUUCCUUUCGCAUCGUGAAAACGAGUGUCUUUGCGCGAGAGAAUUGUGUACUCGUUUUGUCGAGUACAACAUUUUGGGGGUUCGUCCGAUUUUGGACCACGAAAAAUUAUGGAUAUAUCAGAAAAUUUAACGGCAACGACUCCUGCGAAAGCGGAGGGACGUCCUCUUCGAAAGAGAAUGCGUGUUCGUACGCCUGCUAGACCUCGACUCUCUACCGAGGCAAAUUCUCUUCGGACAGUCGCCAUAGAAUUACGUCAGCUUUGUGAUGAGAGGCAAAAGCAGCGGCAAUGUGACGAGGAAAUGCAGGCGCUGCUCCAAGAGCGCGACAACUUCAGCGUCUAGAAAAGCGACUACAACAUUUUUCAGGCCAGUCAUUACCUUUAUCUUUUUGUCCUCCUACCGCGGAGAUUCCUCGAGAUUCCGGAAACGCGAGCGUCAAUUUCAAAUUGAAACCAGAUAUUUUUGACGGGAGUGUUCCGCUGCGCGAAUAUUUUACACAAUUCAAAUUAAUUGCGCGAGCGAAUAAUUGGGAAGAUUCUAAGAAGGUGGUCGCAUUAGCUUUGAAUUUACGGGUAAAAGCGCGUUUAGUUCUAAACGGAAUAACGGAAUUAGAAAAUUUAAGUUUUGAAGAAAUUAAAUCUAAGCUCGAGUUACGUUUUGGGGAAGGUCAUAUGACUCAAACGCUUUACACGCAGUUUACGAAUUGUAAGCAAAAAUUUGGAGAAAAUUUGGUUUUGUUGAGAGCCGAUUUAAAACGACUUUCACGUUUAGUCUAUCCCGAGUGUCCUCACGAAGUACUGGAAAAGAUUGUUUGUGCUUAAUCUAUUAUUGCAGUCUCUGACGGGUUUUUGAGACGCACUCUUCAACUUGAGGGAAUUAUUAUACUUCCUUGCAUUCUGCAAUUGAGAGGGCGAAAGCAAUUAAAACUUCAAGAAAACAGUUUUUCUUAGAAAAGGAAAAAUAAAGAAGUAGAGAAUGUUUCAGUUUAGGUUUCGUAAUUUAAAAUAGAGGAUGUGGGAGAGAGUUACGGUUUUAGGUUUAGGAUUUCUUCUUUCUGAAAUUGAAAUUUUGUCUCACGGAGGGGAGGGAGAUGUUCUCUCGUUCCUUUUUCUUUCUGGGGGGCAUUGGAUUGGGAAUGACACGGGCGAUGCUCGGUAACCUGUGGCAGGGGUAGAGUAGGAAAUCGUCGUGCUUCCCUGGAAGUCCACGCCUUGGAGGACGGGUUCGGAGAAUCGUUUUUUCUUCGAAAACUGAGAAUGAGUUUUGAUUCUUUUUUUAGAAUUUCUUGGAUUGACACAAGAAAAUGGAUUCGCAACGAACAGUAUUUAGUUUCCCAAAGCAGAGGCCCAAGUGAGAGCAGAAAAUUGUCAUUUUUGUUUGAUAUUGCUCGAGACGACGCUCGGUAACCUGUGGCAGGAACCCAGGGUAAAGCAGAAGGUCGUCGAGUGGAUUGUCAUUGCAGACACGGUCGAUGCUCGGUAAUCUGUAGCAGGAGCCCAGGGUAGAGCAGUAGGUCGUCAUUUUGGUUUGAAUCGCGGAGGACGAUGUUCGGUUACCCGUAGCGAAAGCUUGGAAUGGAGCGGAAGAGUUCAAGAUUUCUUAUUCUCUCAGAAAGGUACUGGUUUGAAAGUGACUCUGGCGACGCUCGGUAACUCGUGGUAGGAGCCCGGGGUAGAGCAGGAAGUUGUCGCACUCCCCUAGAAAUUCUUGCUUUGGGAGAUGAGUUCUAAAGAUUGUUCUUUUGUCAGGAGCUGAGAGUGAACUUUGAUUCUUUUUCUUCUGAAUUGCAGAGGACCUGAGACAAGAGCCCAGGGUAGAGCAGAAAGUCGUCAGAUUUGAGUCUUUUACGGGAAAAUUUUAUCCUAGAAUUUUGUUUAAGAUAUAGAGGAAAAGAAUUAUUGAUUUUAAAGUUUUUUUUGCAGGGUUUUGUUAUUUAGAAUUGAGUACUCGUCGGAUUUUGUUUUUUCGUUUCAGUUAUAAGGAUCUUUUGAGACGACGUUCUUCAUAUGGAGGAUCACUAUAGUACUUCUUUUAAAGAAGACUGCCUCGCCCCGGAUUUUUGAGCCGUGGUUUUCCCCGUAGGGCUGAGGGCAAAUUCCGAGGCAAGAGCUUGGAAGAGUGGCUCGGAAUCUUGUUAGCAGUAACACUCAGAUGGGUCUUAGAGACAACAAGAGGUCUGGAGACCUCUGGAUGUGAAAAGACUUUGUGCUUGUCGGGACGACAAGUUUUAAAAAAGGGGUGCAAUGUUAUGCCUGUUCUUCAACUGAGCUUGAGAAGCUGGCCGAAGGAACAUCGAUUAGACAGAAGAAGCGCGGCCGGCUUUUGUUCUGUUCUGGGACGCGGAGCUGUCACGAGAUAUUUAAAAUAAUUCCACCACGAAUUAUUUGUAUAAAGUUAUUAAAUUAAAGUUAGUGUUCCUUUUUUGUAAAAGAGUGUUUUUUCCUUUUGCGUCAUGAAAACGAGUGUCUUUGCGCGAGAGAACUGUGUAUUCGUUUCGUCGAGUACAACAAUGUCAUUCUCAAAUGUAUUUCGUAUGUUAGAUACUAGAUUGAUUGUACCUCUCUUCUUAUAACAAGAGUUGCUAUUGAAAAUACACGAAGAUAAUCUAAGCAUAAACAAAUGUAGAGAGAGCUAGACAAUCAAUCUGGUAGCUUGGUAUAAGUUUGCAAUUAAAACACCUAAUCGAAAAUUGUCUUAAUUGCAUUGAACAAAGGUCUAAUAUUAAAGAGUCUUUUGUAAGAGAGACAUUUCCUGAUCGCUUGUGACAAAAAGUAGGGAUAGACUUAUUUAAAUUAGAAACGUGGUAUUUAAUCAUAAUGGACUAUUAUUCUAGAUACUUUAAAAUCCUUCCAGAGGAAGAAUUUAAGAACUUUAACGGAACAAAAAAUUAUAACAAAAUGUAAUAAAGAAACAUUUGCGAGAUACGGUAUCCCGGAAAUGAUAAGGCGUGAUUGCGAUAUACAAUUCACAUUGGAAUUUUGUCGCUUUGAAAUAGAAUAUGAUUUCGAGCAUGUAACUAGUUUGCCAAAGUAUUUUUAGAGUGACGGGGCAGCAGAAGCGGCAGUAAAAAUAUCAAAAAAUAUUUUUUUAAAAUGUAUGGAACAUAUAAACUUAGGGUUAUUAGCAUAUAGAACUACGACUUUAGAAGACAGAUAUACACCUGCAGAACUUAUCUUUUCAAGGAAAAUCCAUUCUCUGCUUCUAUUACCAAGAAAGUUAGGAUCGUUUAAACAACACAACAAAGUCUUUGAAAAAGAAAACUAAAGGAAGGGAAAACAAGAGCGUAAUUAUAACAAAAAA
rnacentral:lncRNA from 13 species